GCGUUUAGCUGCGGCUGCCUUGUCGAUGGAUUUGGCAGUUGGGAAUUCGACAUCGGCCGAAAAAUACUGAAAAACAAGUAUAAAAUAACCAAAAUGGAAAAAUUUCAAGGGUUUUUGGCGACUUUAGGUAGAAAGGGAGGAUCUAUAGAAAGAGCGGGCAUGAGAAAUCGCUAGGAAAUGAUUCUUGCAAUUGGAGAAGAAUUGGAU
rnacentral:misc_RNA from 1 species